GUGAGUCUCUAGGGAGAGGUGGGGCUGGCUUAAGGGCGCGUCUGGGGCACUCACCUGGCGGCUGCCACGCGCCCCCGCCCAGGAUCCGAAGCCUGGGCACCUGAAAAAGGAACCUCCACCCACAUUUCGAGGUGGGAACGAACCCUGGUCAGGGAGGGGACUGCAGCCUGCCUCAUCUCUCUCUUGUGAACCCUGCACCCCCCGAGUCCCCACUCCCUCGCGGAAGGCUGGGCUGCACCCUGAGCUGGGAACGGAGAGGUGGAAAGAAGAGAAAGGAGACGCUCCUGAGGAGCUCCUGGGUUCUGCGUCGGGAGCCGCGGGGCUCACAGAGCGCCACCUCCGGCCACGGCUCAGCACAGGGCGCAACGCGGGGGAGCGACGCGCGCAGACUAGGUCUGAGCAGGGCUGAGCCGCUCCCCCGCGGCCAAAAAGCGGGUGUGCCCAGGCGCGGUGGAUAUCGCCAGUCUAGACCAAGUGGGGUUGGACCCGAACGGUAGCACCAGAUGCCUGCCAGUGUCCCUCCCUCGAGGGGGCGUACUUCCCAGGUACCGGGUUUGGGGGUGGCUACUCUUGGGGACCCCAAAAGUAGACGACUUAAGCUGGAGAGUAGGAGACGCCCGGUGGGUGAGGGGCAGCCGAGGAGAAUUCUGCCGGCCCCAGCCAUCACCCCCUUCCUGUAGAUAAACCGUACCUCCUGCGCGUAGUCCUCCCUCUGGACCCGCAGGAAAGGCGCGCAGCCCCGAGUGCGGCUCCCGCAUUUCGGAGUCUGAGUCGAGAGGGGCUUUGGUGACGCUCGCUUUCCCCCAAAUACCUGAAGGGCGGGGGCUCUCCCGGCACUUCUGCGGCGUCUAAAUAGCGCUCUCUCGGGUCUCCACCAUCCCGCAGCCCUCCACCCUCGCCGCGACCCCGCCGGGUGGUCAGAAAGGCAGAACAAGAGAAAACUUGGACACGUUGAGAAGCACCUGAAAACCAGGCCUGAUCCAUCCAGAUGGAACCUUCUGCGACUUUGGAGAGGCAACCCACUGGAUGGUUUCUGGAAGGCGACCGAAAGCGCACUGCCUGGACCCAGGUGGAGCCCUCACCUUCUUAUCCUGAGAGCUGUGCUCAUCAUGUCUCGCUGAGCCCCGGGCUCCUCGAGAGCAGAGGGGACCCCAGGACACCUCGUGGGGGUUCGAGGACCCGAUGUGACAGUGGGUGUGGGAAUCCAGGAGGAAGGUCGCGUUGCAUUUCGGAUGGGGUGCCGCACCCUCCGGACCCCAACCCCCUCACGGAGGCCGCUGGUUCCCAGGAAUCGUUCUUGGACGGGCGCUUCCCUGUGCUCCCUUAUCCGCCCUGCGCUUCACGGACACCCAGCUGGAGACAAGGGCGGAGCAGGGGGCUAUCUGGGGACGCGGAAGGGGGCGCCCUGGGCGGCAGUCUGAGUGUAUAGGGGCCAGGGUGCACCACUCCGACGCAGGAGCCGCGGGGCGCAUGGCGCAGGCAUCUCUCUAAUCGCUGGCCGCUAUUAAAAAUAAAACUGCGACCCGUCGUCAUAGCGACCACAACAACAGUGGCCGCCGCGCGGUGGCUAGAACUCGUGUGGCCAGGCUACAGCGGCCUGGGGGACGCAGGCACAGCGCCCUGAACUCCCAAGGUACCGUGGUGCGAGACUAGGACCCCCUUCGCCGCCCCAUUCCCCUCCUCCAGAUCCUCGGAAGAUAGGAAAAAGCCGAACCCUAGACGCCCAGGUUUCUGAAACCUGGAGAUGAAGGCACCGCAGGACGUAACCGAGAGAUGGUGGCCUUGGGCGUGAACCAGGCCGGGGGUGGGGGGGCUCCUUCCCCCCCGCCCAUUGGAACUCCAAUGUGCCCUUUUCAGGCCCUGGAGAAGGGAGCUGAGUGGGUAGGUGGGUUCCGGAUCUCCGCCGCCAGAGGAGACGGUGCAACCGCAGCCAGGCCGGCGGGGUUUUGCGCGCGGGGGCCGCAGCACCUGUCCCGCCAGCACUGUUGGUGGGAGUGGUCACAUGCUUUCUCCUGGCUGGGAAUCGAGUUUCACUUCCAGCCGCUAUUAGGCGGUUCACACGGUUCACUGCAAACAUUUGAUAAUGAGGCUAAAUAUACUUUAGAGUUGGAGGAGGCGUGGGCGGCCGCUGCCCAAGCGCGUGGGUGCGGCGCUGCAGGCUCUGCGGGGCAUCCCCGCCCAGGCUCGGGAGACACAGGCGCCAAACCGAGGUGCAGUGCGGGACUCCUGAGCAAGACGCGUCCCCACACCGCCCCCAAGACAACUUGACCCCGGCUGCAGGCACGCUUGCAGGAGGCUCUUCGCGCUACUGUCUAGGGCAGAAGUAGAAGCGGACGCAGCGGGGAGCUCCGGAGGACGGGGAGGAGGUGUGAGUGAGAAGAGAAGGUGCACCUGGUGGCCCGGGAUGUCCGGUCGCCCCCGAGUUGGUGCUUCCGGCCUAUCUCGGGCGUCCCUGGCGCGCCCCGACGUGCCCGUGGGCCCAUAAUUAAGGUGUCAGGUGCUCCAAGUAGGCCGAGUGGGGGCGCAACCAGGGUGACCGGCCGGCGUCUGCCCCUUGCUGUGUUCCCUCCCAACACAAUCCAAGACCAAAGGCACUCAAGGAAGGGCUGGCAGAGCCUUGGCCAUUCCUCGGGUAGGAAUCGUUCUUGGACGGGCUCUUCCCUGUGCUCCCUGACGGGGUGGGGGCACGAAAACCAACCUUUAUUAAGAAACAGGCAGAGGCCAGUGCUGUGUGCAGGUGUAGUCUCAUUUUACCUUAAAGCCCGCCUCACACCAUCCUCACUGCUUGGCCACUGUCCUUCCAGGCUUGGCACCAAUAGACAUUCAAUUAUUGCCGUCAUUAUUGUCAUUUAUUAGUAGUGAUGACUAACAAUUACUGAGGGCUUGGACUGUGCCAGGCUGGUGCCAAGCCCUUUCGCCAUAUAAUUUCAUUGCACACCCAAGUGGCAACCCCCAGGCUUUCAUCCCUUCCCAUUUUGCAGGUGAGAAAGUGAGGCAUUUGCAAGCAGUGAGGCUCCCCCGGUUCCUAGGCUCCUCCAUGAAUACACAACCUGAAUUACCUGGUAUCACUUAGGGUUCACAGGCAGGAAGUGAAGGUUGAUGUGGCCAACCAGCAAUGCAGGACUGGAGUUCACACCUACUAGGGCCCCAGUCCCAAGGGGCAAGAUCCUGCUCUGCCCUUGACCUUGCCUCCUUGGUGUGAAUUGUCCCUAGCCUGUCCUCAGCUCGGUUCCUCAUCUGGAAAAAAGGGAGGUGGACAGUUGUCCCCCUACACCAUGAUGUCCCCAGUAGGUCAGCUCCCUGCAGUCCCAUAGAGGCCCCAGCACAUACCUACAAGCCACAGGGCCCUGACUGUGUGUGUGUGUGGAGGGGGGGGGAAUUGGAGUGCAGAAUCCAGGCCUAUGCUCCUGUGUCAGCAAAGGUCUCAGAAAAACUGGCAGUGGUGUGACACCAAGUCCCCAUUUAUCUCUGGGCAAAGUUUCUCGGUUCUGGCAAUUAAGCCAGAAGCAGCUUCAACCACCGUGGGCUCACUCCUUGAAGAUCAAACAUGCCGGGUGCAGGCGCUAAUUAAGUCAUUACCUUAAGCCCUGAGGCUAAGGAUCAGGCCUUUCCAGUUCAGGCUCCCCAGAGAGACAGAGAUAAGCCUCUCCAGAGUGGGAAGGCACCUCAGUGUCUCCGCGCCCUUCUUAACUCCCUAGUAAGUAUUUUUAUUUUCUCUUUUAAAUACACCAACAGAAAUGAAAUUUACUGUAGCACACAAUCAUUUGGGGAAUGAAGACCUCUAUUAGGAGACAUUUCGUAGGUUGAGUGGGGGGGGGGGGGCGAGUCCAGAGUCUAGGUCACAUCCAGGACAGGAGCAUCCGCCAGGUGUGGCCCCAGAGCAUUUAAAUGCAGCUGGCCAGAAUUCUGUUGAAAGUGCAAAACACACACCGGCUUUAGGAGACUCCAUGCAAAGGUCGAGAUGUGAAAUUUUAUUUUAAUUACAGUUUGAAAAUAAUAUUUUGGAUAUACAAAGUUAAAUAAACAACAUGAUUCCAGUUCAUUU
rnacentral:lncRNA from 1 species